CCGCGGGAUUAGAGUUUGAUCCUGGCUCAGGACGAACGCUGGCGGCGUGCCUAACACAUGCAAGUCGAACGCGCUCCAUUUGGUAGCAAUACCGAUGAAGAGCGAGUGGCGAACGGGUGAGUAGCACGUGAGCAACCUGCCCCGAAGACCGGGACAACACCGGGAAACCGGUGCUAAUACCGGAUAUCCCUAUCGGACCGCAUGAUCCGAUAAGGAAAUGGAUUCCGCUUCGGGAGGGGCUCGCGGCCUAUCAGCUAGUUGGUGAGGUAACGGCCCACCAAGGCAUCGACGGGUAGCUGGUCUGAGAGGACGAUCAGCCACACUGGGACUGAGACACGGCCCAGACUCCUACGGGAGGCAGCAGUGGGGAAUCUUGCGCAAUGGGCGAAAGCCUGACGCAGCAACGCCGCGUGGAGGACGAAGGCUUUCUGAGUUGUAAACUCCUUUCAGCAGGGACGAUAGUGACGGUACCUGCAGAAGAAGCACCGGCCAACUACGUGCCAGCAGCCGCGGUGAUACGUAGGGUGCAAGCGUUGUCCGGAUUUAUUGGGCGUAAAGAGCUCGUAGGCGGUUUGAUUAGUCGGGUGUGAAACCUCCAGGCUCAACCUGGAGCCGCCACUCGAUACUGUCAUGACUAGAAUUCGGUAGGGGACCACGGAAUUCCUGGUGUAGCGGUGAAAUGCGCAGAUAUCAGGAGGAACACCAGCAGCGAAGGCGGUGGUCUGGGCCGACAUUGACGCUGAGGAGCGAAAGCGUGGGGAGCGAACAGGAUUAGAUACCCUGGUAGUCCACGCCGU
rnacentral:rRNA from 1 species